UACGAAGGGGGCUAGCGUUGCUCGGAAUCACUGGGCGUAAAGGGCGCGUAGGCGGACUUUUAAGUCGGGGGUGAAAGCCCAGGGCUCAACCCUGGAAUUGCCUUCGAUACUGGGAGUCUUGAGUUCGGAAGAGGUUGGUGGAACUGCGAGUGUAGAGGUGAAAUUCGUAGAUAUUCGCAAGAACACCAGUGACGAAGGCGGCCAACUGGUCCGAAACUGACGCUGAGGCGCGAAAGCGUGGGGAGCAAACAGG
rnacentral:rRNA from 1 species